rnacentral:rRNA from 1 species
CGCGUAGGCGGCUGUGGCAGUCGGGUGUGAAAGCCCGGAGCUCAACUCCGGAAUUGCACUCGAGACGCCACGGCUGGAGGCCGGAAGAGGAGGGUGGAAUACCCAGUGUAGAGGUGAAAUUCGUAGAUAUUGGGUGGAACACCGGUGGCGAAAGCGGCUCUCUGGUCCGGACCUGACGCUGAGGCGCGAAAGCGUGGGGAGCAAACA